UAUGAAGAACGUAGCGAAAUGCGAUACGUAAUGUGAAUUGCAGAAUUCAGUGAAUCAUCGAAUCUUUGAACGCACAUUGCGCCUGCCAGCACUCUGGCAGGCAUGCCUGUUCGAGCGUCAUUUCAACCAUCAAGCCCUAGGCUUGCGUUGGAGCCCUGCGGCUGCCGCAGGCCCCUAAAAGCAGUGGCGGGCUCGCUAUCACACCGAGUGCAGUAGAUUACUCUUCGCUCAGGGCGUGUGGCGGGUUCCAGCCGUGAAACCCCCUACUUCCCAAGGUUGACCUCGGAUCAGGUAGGAAUACCCGCUGAACUUAAGCAUAUCAAUAAGCGGAGGA
rnacentral:misc_RNA from 1 species